UACGUAAGGGGCUAGCGUUGUCCGGAAUCAUUGGGCGUAAAGAGCGUGUAGGCGGCCCGAUAAGUCCGCUGUGAAAGUCCAGGGCUCAACCCCGGGAUGCCGGUGGAUACUGUCGGGCUCGAGUCCGGAAGAGGAGUGUGGAAUUCCUGGUGUAGCGGUGAAAUGCGCAGAUAUCAGGAGGAACACCAAUGCGAAGGCAGCUCUCUGGGACGGUACUGACGCUGAGACGCGAAAGCGUGGGGAGCGAACAGG
rnacentral:rRNA from 1 species